UACGUAGGGUGCGAGCGUUAAUCGGAAUUACUGGGCGUAAAGCGUGCGUAGACGGUUAUUUAAGUCGGGUGUGAAAGCCCCGGGCUCAACCUGGGAAUUGCAUUCGAGACUGAAUAGCUAGGGUACGGUAGAGGGAAGUGGAAUUUCCGGUGUAGCGGUGAAAUGCGUAGAUAUCGGAAGGAACAUCAGUGGCGAAAGCGGCUUCCUGGACCAGAACUGACGAUCAGGCACGAAAGCGUGGGGAGCAAACAGG
rnacentral:rRNA from 1 species